GGAGAGAUGGCUCAGUGGUUAAGAGCAUUGAUUGUUCUUCCAGAGGACCUGGGUUCAAUUCCCAGCACCUACA
rfam:Neotoma lepida isolate 417 scaffold_330, whole genome shotgun sequence.